rnacentral:rRNA from 1 species
UACGAAGGUGGCAAGCGUUACUCGGAAUGACUAGGCGUAAAGGGCAGGUAGGUGGUUUGGUAAGUCUGUUGUGAAAGCUCCUGGCUUAACUGGGAGAGGCCAACAGAUACUGCUAGGCUUGAGUAUAGGAGAGGUAACUGGAAUUCCCGGUGUAGCGGUGAAAUGCGCAGAGAUCGGGAGGAACACCAAUGGCGAAAGCAAGUUACUGGACUAUUACUGACACUCAGCUGCGAAAGCUAGGGGAGCAAACAGGAUUAGAUACCCUGGUAGUCCUAGCUGUAAACGAUGCACAUUAGGCGUGGGGGGUAUCGACCCCCUCCUUGCCGACGCAAACGCAUUAAAUGUGCCGCCUGGGGAGUACGGCCGCAAGGUUGAA